rnacentral:rRNA from 1 species
GACGAACGCUGGCGGCGUGCUUAACACAUGCAAGUCGAACGGAAAGGCCCUGCUUUUGUGGGGUGCUCGAGUGGCGAACGGGUGAGUAACACGUGAGUAACCUGCCCUUGACUUUGGGAUAACUUCAGGAAACUGGGGCUAAUACCGGAUAGGAGCUCCUGCUGCCUGGUGGGGGUUGGAAAGUUUCGGCGGUUGGGGAUGGACUCGCGGCUUAUCAGCUUGUUGGUGGGGUAGUGGCUUACCAAGGCUUUGACGGGUAGCCGGCCUGAGAGGGUGACCGGCCACAUUGGGACUGAGAUACGGCCCAGACUCCUACGGGAGGCAGCAGGGGGGAAUAUUGCACAAUGGGCGGAAGCCUGAUGCAGCAACGCCGCGUGCGGGAUGACGGCCUUCGGGUUGUAAACCGCUUUCGCCUGUGACGAAGCGUGAGUGACGGUAAUGGGUAAAGAAGCACCGGCUAACUACGUG